rnacentral:rRNA from 1 species
GGGUUGUGAGGUUAAGCGACUAAGCGUACACGGUGGAUGCCCUGGCAGUCAGAGGCGAUGAAGGACGUGCUAAUCUGCGAUAAGCGUCGGUAAGGUGAUAUGAACCGUUAUAACCGGCGAUUUCCGAAUGGGGAAACCCAGUGUGAUUCGUCACACUAUCAUUAACUGAAUCCAUAGGUUAAUGAGGCGAACCGGGGGAACUGAAACAUCUAAGUACCCCGAGGAAAAGAAAUCAACCGAGAUUCCCCCAGUAGCGGCGAGCGAACGGGGAGCAGCCCAGAGCCUGAAUCAGUGUGUGUGUUAGUGGAAGCGUCUGGAAAGGCGCGCGAUACAGGGUGACAGCCCCGUACACAAAAAUGCACAUGCUGUGAGCUCGAUGAGUAGGGCGGGACACGUGGUAUCCUGUCUGAAUAUGGGGGGACCAUCCUCCAAGGCUAAAUACUCCUGACUGACCGAUAGUGAACCAGUACCGUGAGGGAAAGGCGAAAAGAACCCCGGCGAGGGGAGUGAAAAAGAACCUGAAACCGUGUACGUACAAGCAGUGGGAGCCUCUUUAUGGGGUGACUGCGUACCUUUUGUAUAAUGGGUCAGCGACUUAUAUUCUGUAGCAAGGUUAACCGAAUAGGGGAGCCGAAGGGAAACCGAGUCUUAACUGGGCGUUAAGUUGCAGGGUAUAGACCCGAAACCCGGUGAUCUAGCCAUGGGCAGGUUGAAGGUUGGGUAACACUAACUGGAGGACCGAACCGACUAAUGUUGAAAAAUUAGCGGAUGACUUGUGGCUGGGGGUGAAAGGCCAAUCAAACCGGGAGAUAGCUGGUUCUCCCCGAAAGCUAUUUAGGUAGCGCCUCGUGAAUUCAUCUCCGGGGGUAGAGCACUGUUUCGGCAAGGGGGUCAUCCCGACUUACCAACCCGAUGCAAACUGCGAAUACCGGAGAAUGUUAUCACGGGAGACACACGGCGGGUGCUAACGUCCGUCGUGAAGAGGGAAACAACCCAGACCGCCAGCUAAGGUCCCAAAGUCAUGGUUAAGUGGGAAACGAUGUGGGAAGGCCCAGACAGCCAGGAUGUUGGCUUAGAAGCAGCCAUCAUUUAAAGAAAGCGUAAUAGCUCACUGGUCGAGUCGGCCUGCGCGGAAGAUGUAACGGGGCUAAACCAUGCACCGAAGCUGCGGCAGCGACGCUUAUGCGUUGUUGGGUAGGGGAGCGUUCUGUAAGCCUGCGAAGGUGUGCUGUGAGGCAUGCUGGAGGUAUCAGAAGUGCGAAUGCUGACAUAAGUAACGAUAAAGCGGGUGAAAAGCCCGCUCGCCGGAAGACCAAGGGUUCCUGUCCAACGUUAAUCGGGGCAGGGUGAGUCGACCCCUAAGGCGAGGCCGAAAGGCGUAGUCGAUGGGAAACAGGUUAAUAUUCCUGUACUUGGUGUUACUGCGAAGGGGGGACGGAGAAGGCUAUGUUGGCCGGGCGACGGUUGUCCCGGUUUAAGCGUGUAGGCUGGUUUUCCAGGCAAAUCCGGAAAAUCAAGGCUGAGGCGUGAUGACGAGGCACUACGGUGCUGAAGCAACAAAUGCCCUGCUUCCAGGAAAAGCCUCUAAGCAUCAGGUAACAUCAAAUCGUACCCCAAACCGACACAGGUGGUCAGGUAGAGAAUACCAAGGCGCUUGAGAGAACUCGGGUGAAGGAACUAGGCAAAAUGGUGCCGUAACUUCGGGAGAAGGCACGCUGAUAUGUAGGUGAAGCGACUUGCUCGUGGAGCUGAAAUCAGUCGAAGAUACCAGCUGGCUGCAACUGUUUAUUAAAAACACAGCACUGUGCAAACACGAAAGUGGACGUAUACGGUGUGACGCCUGCCCGGUGCCGGAAGGUUAAUUGAUGGGGUUAGCGGUAACGCGAAGCUCUUGAUCGAAGCCCCGGUAAACGGCGGCCGUAACUAUAACGGUCCUAAGGUAGCGAAAUUCCUUGUCGGGUAAGUUCCGACCUGCACGAAUGGCGUAAUGAUGGCCAGGCUGUCUCCACCCGAGACUCAGUGAAAUUGAACUCGCUGUGAAGAUGCAGUGUACCCGCGGCAAGACGGAAAGACCCCGUGAACCUUUACUAUAGCUUGACACUGAACAUUGAGCCUUGAUGUGUAGGAUAGGUGGGAGGCUUUGAAGUGUGGACGCCAGUCUGCAUGGAGCCGACCUUGAAAUACCACCCUUUAAUGUUUGAUGUUCUAACGUUGGCCCCUAAUCGGGGUUGCGGACAGUGUCUGGUGGGUAGUUUGACUGGGGCGGUCUCCUCCUAAAGAGUAACGGAGGAGCACGAAGGUUGGCUAAUCCUGGUCGGACAUCAGGAGGUUAGUGCAAUGGCAUAAGCCAGCUUGACUGCGAGCGUGACGGCGCGAGCAGGUGCGAAAGCAGGUCAUAGUGAUCCGGUGGUUCUGAAUGGAAGGGCCAUCGCUCAACGGAUAAAAGGUACUCCGGGGAUAACAGGCUGAUACCGCCCAAGAGUUCAUAUCGACGGCGGUGUUUGGCACCUCGAUGUCGGCUCAUCACAUCCUGGGGCUGAAGUAGGUCCCAAGGGUAUGGCUGUUCGCCAUUUAAAGUGGUACGCGAGCUGGGUUUAGAACGUCGUGAGACAGUUCGGUCCCUAUCUGCCGUGGGCGCUGGAGAACUGAGGGGGGCUGCUCCUAGUACGAGAGGACCGGAGUGGACGCAUCACUGGUGUUCGGGUUGUCAUGCCAAUGGCACUGCCCGGUAGCUAAAUGCGGAAGAGAUAAGUGCUGAAAGCAUCUAAGCACGAAACUUGCCCCGAGAUGAGUUCUCCCUGACUCCUUGAGAGUCCUGAAGGAACGUUGAAGACGACGACGUUGAUAGGCCGGGUGUGUAAGCGCAGCGAUGCGUUGAGCUAACCGGUACUAAUGAACCGUGAGGCUUAACCUUACAACGCCGAAGCUGUU